rnacentral:rRNA from 1 species
CAGCCGCCGCGGUAAUACGGAGGGAGCUAGCGUUGUUCGGAAUUACUGGGCGUAAAGCGCGCGUAGGCGGUUACUCAAGUCAGAGGUGAAAGCCCGGGGCUCAACCCCGGAACUGCCUUUGAAACUAGGUGACUAGAACCUUGGAGAGGUCAGUGGAAUUCCGAGUGUAGAGGUGAAAUUCGUAGAUAUUCGGAAGAACACCAGUGGCGAAGGCGACUGACUGGACAAGUAUUGACGCUGAGGUGCGAAAGCGUGGGGAGCAAACAGGAUUAGAUACCCCGGUAGUCCCUGUCUCUUAUAA